AUGGCGAAGAGCUCGUUCAAGCUGGAGCACCCGCUCGAGAGGAGGCAGGCGGAGGCUAACCGCAUAAGGGAGAAGUACUCUGACAGAAUUCCUGUGAUCGUUGAGAAGGCUGGGAAGAGUGAUAUUCCUGACAUUGACAAGAAAAAGUACCUCGUCCCCGCCGACCUUACGGUUGGACAGUUCGUGUAUGUUGUCCGGAAGCGGAUCAAGCUCAGUGCUGAGAAGGCGAUCUUCAUCUUUGUGAAGAACACUCUUCCACCGACAGCUGCCCUGAUGUCUGCCAUUUACGAGGAGAACAAGGACGAGGACGGCUUCCUCUACAUGACCUACAGCGGCGAGAACACCUUCGGAUUGCUCUAG
rnacentral:rRNA from 1 species